rnacentral:rRNA from 1 species
CGGCAACGAGCGCAACCCACACUUUCAGUUGCCAUCAUUCAGUUGGGCACUCUGAAAGAACUGCCGGUGAUAAGCCGGAGGAAGGUGUGGAUGACGUCAAGUCCUCAUGGCCCUUACGGGUUGGGCUACACACGUGCUACAAUGGUGGUGACAAUGGGUUAAUCCCAAAAAGCCAUCUCAGUUCGGAUUGGGGUCUGCAACUCGACCCCAUGAAGUCGGAAUCGCUAGUAAUCGCGUAACAGCAUGACGCGGUGAAUACGUUCCCGGGCCUUGUACACACCGCCCGUCACACCAUGGGAAUUGGGUUUACCCGACGGCCGUGCGCUAACCAGCAAUGGAGGCAGCGGACCACGGUAGGCUCAGUGACUGGGGUGAAGUCGUAACAAGGUAGCCGUAGGGGAACCUGCGGCUGGAUCACCUCCUUUCUAA